rnacentral:rRNA from 1 species
UACGUAGGGUGCGAGCGUUUGUCCGGAAUUACUGGGCGUAAAGAGCUUGUAGGUGGUUUGUCGCGUUGUCCGUGAAAACUCACAACUCAAUUGUGGGCGUGCGGGCGAUACGGGCAGACUGGAGUACUGCAGGGGAGACUGGAAUUCCUGGUGUAGCGGUGGAAUGCGCAGAUAUCAGGAGGAACACCGGUGGCGAAGGCGGGUCUCUGGGCAGUAACUGACGCUGAGGAGCGAAAGCGUGGGGAGCGAACAGG